UAGUUUUCUUCUUGUAAUAUACUGACUUGAUAAAAAUUCUUGCUGGUCUGGGUUUACAUCAAAGAGUUGAUGUUACUGUUAUUACAUGGAUUCCACGAUGCAUUAAACGGUAAAUUUAUUGCUACAUACCGUCACAUCUUUAGUGGAGGAUAACAGGUUAGUGAUCAAAACGCAAUUUAAAUUAUAUGUAAGUGACUCAAUUUGUGGUUUACCCUUCUUCUGUUGCAUAUCAAUGAGACUGAUUAGCUGUUAUGUAUCUCUCUUUCUCUAACAGUCUCAACAUGUGAAAUAUGCAAUAGCAGCUGAAUAUAUCUAAUCAAUGAGAACUUGCAUAUUUGCAUUUGAUCUUGAAUUCUGGGUUCCUGUCCUUGGGCUUAAAAGAUUUACAGGAACUAUAUAUGUCAUCCCAUGGAACCAAAGUGCUAAAGCCGCUCCUAUAACCAACGAAAAUAAUUUUUUACUAAAAUAUAUAAAUUUUGUAUAACGCAAUGAGUAGGGUCAAUUUCAACUUACACUAAUGAUAAUUUUAUUUUUUUUAGUGAAAAUUAAUAAAAUAAAAUUAAAGGGAGUUUUGAAAUUAAAAACAAAAAUUAAAAUUAAAUCUAUGUAAAAAAAUAUUGCAAAAUAAAAUUUGAGGUUAUCAAUAUAAUGAGAAUCUAAUCAAAGAUAAAAUCUCAGUUUUGAUUUAUAGGUUUGAUUAUCGGUUCAAAGAUAAUUUGGUAUUCUAUAAUAAAUUAGUUAUAACUACCAACGAAGCAUCUAGAAACCAAUCUCUCCUUACCUUCUUGAUAACUCAGAGGAAACUCGUUGAAAUUAUUUUCAUUAUUAGUAAACAAACCAAUAAGUUUUCAUUGCGUUAUCGGUUCGUAAAUUUAAAGCCCGUACUUUAAGCAAACUAAGGGUUCAAGAAUAAUUGAGAAGAUCGUGUUGGUAGAAAGUCGGGAAAUGACUAAGUCCUCUUAGCCUAAAACAUUGGUACUAAUUUGGUAAAGGGUUUAUUGAUAUAAUUAACACGACGACUUAAUUUUAUAAAAAAAAUUAAUUUUUUCGUUGUGCACCAAAAUCAUUUUCUAAACCAAAAUUUUCUAACAUGAAGAGGAAUCUUAGUACUUGUUUCAUCAAAUCAUAUGAGAUUCUUGAGAGAGAUGGUCCUCCUAUAGUUUAUCGAUUAACAUUACCACUUGAGUUAGAUUGUAUUCAUAAUCAUGUUUCAGAGGUAUAGAUCGGACCCUUCUCAUGUUAUUCCUGCUAAAUCUAUAGAAGUGCAACCACAAUUGGCUUAUGAAGAAGAGACUACUUGAGAACCAAAGGAGAUCAAGUGACAACAACAUCCACAACUUUUUUCAAGUAAAUUUUGAGGACACA
rnacentral:lncRNA from 1 species